rnacentral:tRNA from 1 species
GCCACUGUGGCUCAGCCUGGUAGAGCGACAGAUUCGUAAUCUGUUGGUCGGGGGUUCGAAUCCCCCCAGUGGCU